AUGGAACGCUGGCGGCAGUCCUAAAACAUGCAAGUCGAACGAGUGGCGGACGGGUGAGUAAUGUCUGGGAAACUGCCCGAUGGAGGGGGAUAACUACUGGAAACGGUAGCUAAUACCGCAUCCCAUCGGAUGUGCCCAGAUGGGAUUAGCUAGUAGGUGGGGUAACGGCUCACCUAGGAGACGAUCCCUAGCUGGUCUGAGAGGAUGACCAGCCACAAUGGAACUGAGACACGGUCCAGACUCCUACGGGUGGCAGCAGUGGGGAAUAUUGCACAAUGGGCGCAAGCCUGAUGCAGCCAUGCCGCGUGUAUGAAGAAGGCCUUCGGGUUGUAAAGUACUUUCAGCGAGGAGGCGUUGCUCGCAGAAGAAGCACCGGCUAACUCCGUGCCAGCCGCCGCGGUAAUUC
rnacentral:rRNA from 1 species